rnacentral:sRNA from 1 species
CAACUACCCGCACCUAAAGGAGCGGGCUUGUAAAAGCCCUGGUUGACCAGACUCAGUGCAGUUUUAUUGCACUACGUUACGAGAGAAUACAUAGGCACCGUAAGAUGACCUUCGCCAGUCUUACGCUCUGC